rfam:Pseudomonas sp. Lz4W Contig13, whole genome shotgun sequence.
GUAACGGACACCGCAGGGUUUUGCUGGCAACAGCAGGCACCUUUGAGCGAAUCGCACCCGGCAUUUCCGGACUUGCAAACCCCGCCGGUUUUAACAUCGGC